rnacentral:rRNA from 1 species
GACGAACGCUGGCGGCGUGCUUAACACAUGCAAGUCGAACGAAGAGCGAUGGAAGCUUGCUUCUAUCAAUCUUAGUGGCGAACGGGUGAGUAACGCGUAAUCAACCUGCCCUUCAGAGGGGGACAACAGUUGGAAACGACUGCUAAUACCGCAUACGAUCUAAUCUCGGCAUCGAGGAUAGAUGAAAGGUGGCCUCUACAUGUAAGCUAUCACUGAAGGAGGGGAUUGCGUCUGAUUAGCUAGUUGGAGGGGUAACGGCCCACCAAGGCGAUGAUCAGUAGCCGGUCUGAGAGGAUGAACGGCCACAUUGGGACUGAGACACGGCCCAGACUCCUACGGGAGGCAGCAGUGGGGAAUCUUCCGCAAUAGACGAAAGUCUGACGGAGCAACGCCGCGGGAGCGAUGACGGCCUUCGGGUUGUAAAGCUCUGUUAAUCGGGACGAAAGGCCUUCUUGCGAAUAGUGAGAAGGAUUGACGGUACCGGAAUAGAAAGCCACGGCUAACUACGUG